GACGAACGCUGGCGGCGUGCUUAACACAUGCAAGUCGAACGGAAAGGCCCUGCUUGCAGGGUCCUCGAGUGGCGAACGGGUGAGUAACACGUGGGUGAUCUGCCCUUCACUUCGGGAUAAGCCUGGGAAACUGGGUCUAAUACCGGAUAGGAGCCAUUUUUAGUGUGAUGGUUGGAAAGUUUUUUCGGUGUAGGAUGAGCUCGCGGCCUAUCAGCUUGUUGGUGGGGUAAUGGCCUAACAAGGCGGCGACGGGUAGCCGGCCUGAGAGGGUGGACGGCCACAUUGGGACUGAGAUACGGCCCAGACUCCUACGGGAGGCAGCAGUGGGGAAUAUUGCACAAUGGGCGCAAGCCUGAUGCAGCGACGCCGCGUGGGGGAUGACGGCCUUCGGGUUGUAAACUCCUUUCGCUAGGGACGAAGCUUUUUGUGACGGUACCUAGAUAAGAAGCACCGGCUAACUACGUG
rnacentral:rRNA from 1 species